AAAUCCAGUUUUUGGUUAUUAGAAUUCAUUGGUUCAGAGAAGUCUGGCAGGAUGCAUAGAAAUUUCCCUCUCAGUUUAGGACAGCUGUCCUAAAAAUAGGUUUGGCUUUAUAGAAGACAAU
rnacentral:snoRNA from 1 species